rnacentral:rRNA from 1 species
AGUGAACGCUGGCGGUAGGCCUAACACAUGCAAGUCGAACAGCAGCACAGUAAGAGCUUGCUCUUACGGGUGGCGAGUGGCGGACGGGUGAGGAAUACAUCGGAAUCUACUUUUUCGUGGGGGAUAACGUAGGGAAACUUACGCUAAUACCGCAUACGACCUACGGGUGAAAGCAGGGGAUCUUCGGACCUUGCGCGAUUGAAUGAGCCGAUGUCGGAUUAGCUAGUUGGCGGGGUAAAGGCCCACCAAGGCGACGAUCCGUAGCUGGUCUGAGAGGAUGAUCAGCCACACUGGAACUGAGACACGGUCCAGACUCCUACGGGAGGCAGCAGUGGGGAAUAUUGGACAAAGGGCGCAAGCCUGAUCCAGCCAUACCGCGUGGGUGAAGAAAGCCUUCGGGUUGUAAAGCCCUUUUGUUGGGAAAGAAAUCCAGCCGGCUAAUACCUGGUUGGGAUGACGGUACCCAAAGAAUAAGCACCGGCUAACUUCGUG